GUAUUGUAAGGUGUCAAAAAUGGAUAACAAAUGUCAUAGUAUAGUAAGGCACCAAAAAUGGUCAAAAAAUGUCAUAGUAUGAUAUGGUGUCAAAAACCAUCAAAAAAUGUCAUGGUAUUGUAAGGUGUCAAAAAUGGUUAAAAAAUGUCAUAGUAUAGUAAGGCACCAAAAAUGGUCAAAAAAUGUCAUAAUAUAGUAAGGUGUUAAAAAUUGUCUAAAAAUAUCAUAGUAUAGUAAGGUGUCAAAAACGGUCAAAAAAUGUCAUAGUAUAGUUAGGUAUCAAAAAUCAUCAAAAGAUGUCAUAGUAUAGUAAGGCAUCAAAAACGGUCAAAAAAUGUCAUAGUACAGUAAGGUGUUAAAAAUCGUCAAAAAAUGUCAUAGUAUAGUAAAGUAUCAAAAAUUGUAAUUCCUUCCAGGCACAGGCAGACACAAGUCGUUUCCUUGCUACAGGUUUAUUCUCUCUGAAUCCACCGUGAAAACUAAAAAACACAGAGUUGACGGGACAGUACAUGAAACCAUGUUAACUUAAUAAAAAAAUAUAUACACAGCACAUGAAACGAUAAUUUACAGACAAACAUAAUACCUCGUUGGCUACAUGCCGCAAAAGGAAUAGUGUUUAAAUCUUCAUGAGUUUCUCUAAAACAGUCUCCAUCAUCCCAAAGUUCACUGCAACCAGCCGGCAACCUUUUCUGAUGUACAGACGCCCAUCCUCCUAGCCUUCCGCACCCAUGCGAGAACAGCCCGAGAUCACGCAAACACAAACUAAGACUUUCAAAAUAAAAGCACCAUAUUUUACACACAAAUUACAAAUGACAAAUACAACUCAUAUUCAUAAUUAGAACAGAAAAAUAAACAAUUUACACAAAUCAAAAUACAACAAUUACAAAAAUGGUUAAAAUGUCAUAGUAUAGUGAGGUGUCAAAAAAUGUCAUAGUAUAGUAAAGUGUCAAAAACGGUCAAAAAAUGUCACAGUACAGUAAGGUGUUAAAAACCAUCAAAAAAUGUCAUAGUAUUGUAAGGUGUCAAAAAUGGAUAACAAAUGUCAUAAUAUAGUGAGGCACCAAAAAUGGUCAAAAAAUGUCAUAGUAUGAUAUGGUGUCAAAAACCAUCAAAAAUGUCAUAUUAUAGUGAGACAUCAAAAAUGGUCAAAAAAUGUCAUAGUAUAGUAAGGUGUCAAAAAUGGUCAAAAAAUGUCAUAGUAUAGUAAGGCACCAAAAAUGGUCAAAAAAUGUCAUAGUAUAGUAAGGUGUCAAAAAUCAUCAAAAAAUUGCAUAGUGUAGUAAGGCGUCAAAAAAUGUCAUAGUAUAGUAUGGUGUCAAAAAUGGUCAAAAAAUGUCAUAGUAUAGUAAGGUGUCAAAAAUGGUUUAAAAAUGUCAUAGUAUAGUAAGGUGUCAAAAAUCAUCAAAAAAUUGCAUAGUGUAGUAAGGCGUCAAAAAUGGUCAAAAAAUGUCAUAAUAUAGUGAGGCACCAAAAAUGGUUAAAAAAUGUCAUAGUAUUGUAAGGUGUCAAAAAUUGUCAAAAAAUGUCAUAGUAUACUAUGGUUUCAAAAACGGUCAAAAAAUGUCAUAGUAUAACAAAGUCAAAUUUAUUUGCAAUAAGACUUGAAGCUUUCGACAGGUUUUGUGAUUAACAUGUUCUGUCUCUGCAGGAGUUGGGGAGAAGACUGCAUCACCUGAGGAGGACAACAAAAGUGCUUAAACUUUAGAAAUGUAUAAAGUUUUAAGAAGUGUAACCUUGUAUGUGCUUCAUAUACGCUUAUCUUCAUAUGUACAUUAAAUGUGGGGUGAGAGAAUAUAUCCAAGUGUCUCCAUGUGGUCAAGCAUAUGUCAUUAUCUUUGUUGUGGUUUAUUAAAUGUUGUCAAAAAUAGAAUCAAUAAAGUUUUGAAGCCUAA